AAAACAAAAGUAAACUUUACAAUCAACUUCGACUUGACCUUUGGAUUAUCCUUGUUUUG
rnacentral:tRNA from 1 species